GCCGAGGUGGCGGAAUGGCAGACGCGCAGGUCUCAAAAACCUGUAAGACUCAAAUCUUGUGAGGGUUCGACUCCCUCUCUCGGCA
rnacentral:tRNA from 1 species